UGAGGUAGGUACUAUUGAGACAGCCAGGUGGGAGGGGCUCCUUGGUAAAACUCCAACCAGCCUGCACACUGGGAAGAAUGCGCACUGGGAUGGAGCCACAGAAGUGUGAGUCAUUUGCAGCGGGGUGGAGCCUGGUCCCUCCUCUUCCUGUGAGGAACCUGGAAUUCAAUCUGCGAGGUUGUUCUGGAGAUGUUCUGGGGAGACUGCAUUAAACACAGCCUUCGCACCAUUAAAUAAAUCCAGCAACAAGCCAAGGCAUAAAAGUAAUCUAUGCUUCAGGUCACAGAAGCUUCAGAGGGGGAAAAAAACCCCAGAAUGCUCUAGGGCCAUCAUUGUUCAUGAACUCAUUUGAAAAUAUCCUGGAAAAAUUUUCCCAAACACAUGGAAAGAAAGAGAGGAGAAAAGAAGCUAUCUGAAUAAUGUGGACUCGAAUAAAGAGCUGCCAGGAGCUAUUUAUUUAAAAACAUUACUUUCCUCUCUGGUUGAGUCCCUGGUAUUCUCUGCUGCAAUCUGUAGUUGGUGAAUUUUGAAGAAUGCAAUUAAAUUCAAAUGCUUUGAUGAGUAA